rnacentral:lncRNA from 1 species
AUUCAUUAUUUAUUUAGAAGAGCAAUUGCAUAUUUCAAUACCGUGUCUCUCAUGUCAUGCUGGGGAUGACAACUUGGCUUAAGUGGUGUGAGGGAUAGGUUUGGCAUUUUUGGCACCGUUGCUAGAUUUAGAGAACUUAGUCUACUUUUGGUAAUGAUGUUAAGAAUACCCAACAAGCAUUUUUGGCGCCGUUGCCGGGGAAGGUUGAUUACUAAUCAGGAAUGGAAUAAAAGAUUUUGAGUUAUCAUUCGCAUCACUAAUAUGAUUGAGCUUAUCUAUUCUCUCAUACAGUUUUACCCUAAUAUUUUUUUAUUUUAUCUUAUGCAGGGGAAUGUAUGAAUAGAAGACAUCUUCCAAGGAAUUUUGUUGACGAUCCCGAAGCAUUAUUCAAGAAGACGAGAGCCAAGCUAAAGAAAUCAUCAACACAUCAGCAAGAAGCUUCAUCCAAUCAAGAAGAUCACCGGAACUUGUCUUCAGAGUUCGAAGCCAUGGCGAACAAAUCGAUCCGUGAGUUCUCAGCUCCCACUACGGACAACAUCCGCACUGGACCUGCUGCAGAGAUCGAUGGCAACUUUGACUCAAGCCUGGACUUAUCAACAUGGUGCAAUCCAACCAGUUCUGUGGGAAGGCACACGAAGAUGAUAGUGCUCAUUUACAACACUUCCUGGAGAUUUGCAACACAUUCACCAUAGCAGGAGUUUCCAAAGACGCUAUACUACUUCGCCUCUUCCCAUUCUCACUGUUAGGAAGAGCGAAGCAGUGGUUUUACGCUACAAAGGAGAAGAAUACUACAUGGGCACUCUGCUCAACAAACUUCCUAGCUAAGUUCUUUCCCAUGGGCAAGACCAAUGCUCUCCGUGGGAAGAUUACGAGUUUUCAGCAACAAAAUGAUGAAUCUGUUCCAGAAGCAUGGGAGCGCGUUCAAGACUACAUCCUAGAAUGUCCCCAUCAUGGAAUGGAGAGUUGGCUAUUGAUGCAGACAUUCUAUCAUGGGCUCAGCAACAGUGCCCGAGAGACCAUGGAUGCUGCAGCUGGAGGAGCGUUCUUAUCACUUACUAUACCACAAGCCACAGCUCUUGUGGAGAAGAUGGCAUCCAAUCAAAGCUGGAAUGAAGAGAGGACCCAGACACGCAAGAGAGGUGGAGGUAUGCAUCAGCUGAAGGAGGUAGACAUGCUGUCUGCAAAGCUAGACCUGCUCAUGAAGAAGCUCGAUGAUAGAGCUGGAGACAAGAAAGAAGUUAUGCACAUCUACGACUCUCACAUGACUUGUGAGGAGUGUGGAGACACUGGACACUCAGGCAACCACUGCCCUGAGAUACUUGAGGAUGUGAACUACAUCAACAACAACAACAACAACUACUACAACCGUCCUCAACAAAAUCAAGGUUGGAAUCAACAAAGGCCUAACUACUCAGGUAAUUAUCAAGGUAACAAUUCUUACAACAAUAAUAGUAAUUUUCCACCUUUGAGGGAGUUAGUGUCUAAUCAAGGAAAGCUAAUGGAUAAUCUAUCUAAGAAAUUGGCAUCUAAUGAUAAAAUGCUAGAAAAUAUAAAUAAUAGAAUGGAUAAUUUUUCUACUGCCAUCAAGAAUCAAAUUAGCUUUAAUUAAAUUGUUGAAUCCCAGUUAAAUCAAAUAGCUGCUGCUGUUCCUACUACUUACCCCGGUAUACCAUCACAACCGGAAGGAUUAGAAUCUGCAAAUCUUGUAGACAUGUUUGAUGCAGGUAAUUGGAGUAACCCCAUCACUGAAUUUUCUACUGACCGUCUGCCGGUCAAGAGAGGCGAUCCAGGACGCCCCGUCAUCCCGAUCUCCAUCGGCAUGGUGGACUUCCCAGAAGCACUCUGCGACUUUGGCUCUAGCGUCAACAUUAUACCCAGGGUACUCUAUGAGAAAUUCUUUACAUAUCCUUUAUUAGAAACAACCAUGUGUUUGCAGUUUGCAGAUCAGACGAUAACUUUUCCAAAAGGAAUAGUGAGGAACCUUUGUGUCCGAGUUGGUACCUUGUAUGCCCCAGCAGACUUCGUAGUGGUAGAGACCGGGAAUGAUGAGAGAGCACCUAUCAUCCUAGGGAGGCCAUUCUUGAACACUACGGGAGCUAUCAUCUACGCCAGUGCUGCCAAGAUCAGUUUCUACGUUAAAGGGAAGAAGGAGACAUUUUUUUUCAAGAACAAGACUACACAAAUGCAAGAUCAAUCCAGACGUAAAUCAAGGAAGAGGACCAACAGGAGAAACAGGAACAAGCAAGUGUGGACCGAGUCAGCUAAGAUGGUCACUAUAGUCCAUAGAGGCCAAGAUCAUCAACUUAAGUCACCGUUUUUGACCAAGAAGGACGACCCAGGAAUGCCAAGCAUUUACUGCUCCAUAAAUGGAUACAACUUCUACAAGACGAUUUGCGACACCGGAUCGGGCGUUAACAUAAUGGCCGCAGUCACCUAUCGGCUCUUGUUCGGGACCAUGCCACUAAGACCAACAUACAUUCAGCUUCAGAUGGCAGAUCAGACAUUUCGAGAAAUCAAAGGAAUAGUAUCUGAUGUCCCAGUCAAAAUAGACGAUCACUUUGUCUACACAGACUUUCAAGUUGUUGACAUGGGAGAAGAUGAAUACGAUCCACCCAUCAUCCUUGGAAGACCGUUCCUCAGCACCGUUAAAGCAAUUAUCUACAUUGGAACCGGAGAAGUCCAUAUGCACUUCCCCUCAGAGAAGGUACGCCGUUAUUUUACUGACCCUAACUAUAUCGUUGAAGAAUCUAAGUAGGUCAGAAAGAGACGCAACCACAACCAGAGGAGGCAGAUCAUCAAGGACGGAUGGGCAGACUAUGAAGGAGAAGUUGUAAGGUCAGAAGACGUUGAGUUUAAACAGAAUUAUACAGAGGAGAUUGAAGCACCGAGUCAGGUGUGGAAAAUGAAGAUAACUAUACAGGAAGAGGAGGCGCUGCCGGAAGUACCGACUACGCCACCCAACGAACCUCAGGACGAUUAAGAAAAUGGAGAGUCCCGUUCGGAGGACUUAAAAACACCGAACGUCUUGCCAAGAGGUAAACUUGGUAGUUAUCCUUUCCCUUUCAAUUAUUUCAAAUAGUUACUUAGUUAAUUAAGUUCGUGCUAUCUUAAAAAGAAAAUAAAAAUGUGAAAAAUAGUAAGCCCCAUGUGAGUAGACGAGUGGCAUAAAACCCAUAAGUACAUUCACUGUGGUGGCAUAAAAAUAAAAUAAAUAUUUUUCUGCUUUAUAAAAUAAAAAUAUAAAAACAGGGAGUAAUAUUUAUUAAGGAGUCUGAAGAUAAUAAAGGCUAGAUAUUUAUGCUAACACUUAAUCAGUUCCACAAGCUUUGUUGUCUAUUUGAGCUCCACAGAAUUUAAGAAUCAAGAAGACUAGCAGACGGAGGACAUUCUAAUCGCUGUCAGAAUGCUGCUGACUUUCAAAUACACCUCUGGCACCUGCUAGCUACAUCAAGAGAAAUUACGUCAAAAUUCAGCUUGGGGAGAGCACCCCCAUUUAUCUCGAUAAGUAUUUUUUAUCUAUCUUUAUACUUAUAUUAUUUUAGAAUAUAAAUACACAUAAACUAUGAAAAAACCAAAUAAAGAUUUUAUGCUUAUAUAUAUAUAUAUAUCUUUUGCUUAGUGUGUUUAAUAAAUAAAUAAAGUGGCUAUGCUAAUCUGUAUCUAAAUAAAACUUAAGCAUGGAUAUGAUGAAUAGUUGCUCUGCCUAAUUUGCACAUCUUAAGUUCUCUCUCAAGUUUAGAUAUAACUGUUAUAAUUUAAAGCUUGCCCUAGACCUAAACUUGUGGGAUGAAAACUUGAUCUGAGGUCUAAGUUGUUAACGGAUACGAUAUGGGAAGGUUGAGCUGCUGUUUAUCUGUUCCUAGAGAUGCUAGAAUUCUGGAGAAUUUUAUCUUUGAAAAUCUUUAAAAUGUUGCAUGAUGAGUUCCUGUAUGAUGAGAGUUUAAAUUCCUACCAUAGCCAUAUAUGCAUGCUUGCUAGACUUUGAGCCACACAUUUAUUAUUUACUGCUUAUGAGCAUUGAGUGUGGUCAAGCUGUGUAGACCCUUAGGAGCUUGUCAUGUGGUUAAAUCAAGAUUUCACUUGCACGUCCACUCAUAUAUGCUACUUCUACUCUGGAAGUACCAUCCACAUAUAUCCACCCAUUCCAUCUCCAGAAUCACCCAAAAAUAUUCUGCUCCUAAUCCGGGAGAGAAUAACCAAAAAUAUUUCUAUUUUCCCCUUGUGAAAUAAAUGCUCAAGUUAUCUUGUUACUACCACUUGCUAUAUUAUCUCAAGAGAUGAAUGCUCUGAAAAAAAAAUACGAGGAAAUAAAAAGGAGCAAGUGCUCGGAACCUCGAAAGAAAAAAAAAGUGAGACGAGAGGUAAAAAUGGACAAGUGUCCGACAGUAGAAUUAGGGGUGCAAGAUACCCACCUGAGAGGAAAGAAAAAAGAAGAGCAUCUCAUUCUCCUCAUAAAGUUUCAAAAGCAAGGAAGGUAUGUAUCCCCUCAAAGAGCAAAAGUAGAAUUAGACUUCCAUCACCAUUGUUUCCACCAUUGUUAUCGCCAUCAUCACCAUACACCAUUCAUUCGCCACACAUGCACAUCUUGAUUUGGCUUAUUGAUUUGUUUCUUUGGAUCCAUGGUUUGACUAUGCAAUAAAUGUCUUGUAAGUAUGUAUACUUUAUCUCCCACAUAUGAGCUCCAGAUAUUAAAGCCUUAUUAGAGUAGGGUGAGAGAGAAGGCAAUGUCACUAUGCCUCAUACCACAAAUACUACAUAUUUUGAGAGAAGGCAUAUACCAUCACUGCCUUGGUAAGGAUCCAGAAAUACCACAAAAGAGAGACCUGAGAGAAUCAUACAAGGAAUUUCUGAGUUUUAUUUGAAAAUCUGCAAAAACCCCAGAGCUAUAGCUGAUCAAGAAUAAGAGACAUGGCACUUGGCUAGACUGUUCUAUCUUUUAACCACUCAAGACAGAAGUGACGGUUACAAGUCCCAUGGUGUAGGUAAAGUAAGUAAGUUUUAAGUCUUGACAGUUUAACUCUAACUCAGAGAUGAGAUCUUAUUUAAAAGCAUGAGUACCGUCAAUUUUAAGAUAUUGCAACUACUUAUGAUCCAUAGCUAAGUCUAUCCUUGCUCAGGGACGAGCAAGAGGUAAGCUUGGGGGAGUUUCUUGACGGUCCUUAAGUAUCAAAUUUAAUUAUCAAAUAAAUAAAGAAAAGGAUCCAAAUGAAAUCAACAUCCAGACUUAGGGUUUUAUCUGAUAGAAUUCCACGAGUUUUGAUGUUUGUCUAUUUCUGCAGGGGGUUAUCAGGAAAUACGGAAGAAAGGCCCACAUGUCAGGAUUACGUAAAGAUAUUAAUGUGCUGCGCAAUUAUCUUACAUCUAGAAGACUCCAGAAGCCACGAGACCGAAGCGGAGGCGAAACGGGGCCAGACCCUGGGCGGCCGCCCAGUUGGUCAGGGCGCCCGCCCUGCCCCUGAGUCCAAUCAGGACUCUGCUUUGCGGGAGAUCUCCACCGACCUAAAGGAUGAAUCUAAACCAUACAAUCUAUGUCGGUUUGAUCCAAGGGCCCAUAUUCACUUGGAGGAGAGAGCCUCUCAACCCUAAUUCAUUGUUCCAUCAAGGGAGAAGAAGCCUCUGAUCAAGAUUAGAGCCACCACAUCAAUUAGACAUCUAGAUUAGCAUAGCUACAUAGGAUUAGAACUAGAAGGAGUCAAUCUUCGAUUGGUUUCCGGAUCUGUCAGGAGGAUUCUUGGUAAUUCUCUAAUUGUGCUUCUAAUUACUUUCUAAUUAUCUUUGUUCUUCAAUAUUAUGAAUAUGACCUUGUUCUACUUCAAUAUAUUGCUUAUGACUUUGCUCUACUUGCUUAUAUUCAAGAUUAUAUUGUUCUUAGUUUAUCAUAGUUAUGUACUUGGCUUAGUUAGAUUGGAUCUAUAUACAUGCUUAGGAUCGUAUAGCGUUUAUCCAUCGGAUCCAUGGGUAAAUGAUAGAUAUUGUGUAGGCGUGGUGCUUAUACCGUAUUUAUCUGCGAUUGUACCCAAUAUGCCAGAUCGUGGGGUGGUUCGUGAUAGUGACAGCUUCAUUGAUUCUUAUAUAGUCCCCCUCUCGUGUAUUGGGCUGGCAGAGCAACAUUAUUAUAGGGGAGUGAUUGCUAUGUUUCUCAUAUUCCUUGCUAAUAUCACUAUGCAUGGGCGUAGUCUUGUUUCGCAAUGAUUGCUAAGUAUGCUUGCACUAACUAUGAUAAUGCUAGACUAUAUAGUUAAGAAUAACUUAGGGAAUAUUCUUGUAGUUCAUUCUAAUACCAUGCUAAUGACUUUCUAGAGUAUCUAAUUGAGGUGCUUAUCAUAUUUAUUAUGUGGCUAGAUCAGAUUAGUUAUCCUUGUCACUAUUAUUAUUUCAUAUAUCUUUUAUGUGACACUUAUCCCUGUAUGAAGAGUUAGAUAUAAUGUUCUCAAUUAUACAUGCAAUGAUAGAUGCUCAAUCUCAUAUUCUAUUCUGUAAUCAAUAGUGAUGAUUGCUAAUCCCUUCCCAGUGGUAAAAAUAUAAAUAACGAUACCUGGAAUACUUCCCGAUUAAAAUGUUGCAUCGGUAUUAAUCUGUGCGCUUGCAGAUCCCAUUCAUUAUUUAUUUAGAAGAGCAAUUGCAUAUUUCAAUACCGUGUCUCUCAUGUCAUGCUGGGGAUGACAACUUGGCUUAAGUGGUGUGAGGGAUAGGUUUGGCAUUUUUGGCACCGUUACUAGAUUUAGAGAACUUAGUCUACUUUUGGUAAUGAUGUUAAGAAUACCCAACAGUGGCCAAAGACAAAAGCGUUGAGAGUGUCUGACCAAAAGUAAGAUGCAGCUAUCAACAGUGACUCAUUCCUGUGCAUAUCGGCAAUGGACAAUCUAAUGCAUUGAUCUAGCUUUCUCUCACCCACUGGACUUCAUUGGAGUUGCUGACCCUCAAGAACCAGUCUUUCCACCCUACAGUAGGGCUGGGCCAAGAACGAAAGGUGUCUUUCCACAGAUCUAAAGAAAAAUUUUCGGGUUUAGGAGGUGUGGACAAUUCCUGGUGGUUUUGGAAAUAAAGAAAAAGAACACAAAGAAAAGAAAAAAAAUAUAUUCAGUAAAAUGGAUUACGGAUGAACGGGGAUGUGAGGAAAAGUACAGGAGAUGGAAUGAAGAACUGACCUCGGGGACGAUGAAGCUAAUGGCCAUCUUGCGACGAGGAGGGUCUCUGAGGGCUCCGGGGUUGGUGAGGAAGAGUCUUUGUCGGAGGUCUUGGAGAUUUUGAAUGGCGCCACCGCUAGGAAAGUAAAGUUGGGAUGGUGGAAUGAUGUGAUGGAGAAGGAGUACCCGAGAAGGAACUAUUUAUAGGACAAAACGGGCAAGGGCAAAUCUGACUUAUCUCCUUGCCACAUCUGAGAAAUCCGAGGGUGCUCAGGUAGAUAUGGUAACUGUUCGCACGAUAAUCAAGGGAUUGUGCAGGUGAUUUGACGGGAAGCGGUCAUUAUCCGGAGAUAUUCUACUGUGCGGGAUCUCCUGGUCGGUCCAUCGGCAGGUUUUUAUAACGGUAAUAUUGCCGAUGUACGGUUGAGAAGGAAAUGCCCGUUUAGGAAGUUGAGGAUUUCGAGGAAUAUGCAGAAGAAUAGGAUCAGAGUUGUUCAGAUUGAGGUUGUCGGUUAC